AUACGGAGGGUGCAAGCGUUACUCGGAAUCACUGGGCGUAAAGCGCGCGCAGGCGGUCUUUUAAGUUGGAUGUGAAAGCCUACGGCUCAACCGUAGAACUGCAUCCAAAACUAUUAGACUAGAGUGUGGGAGAGGAGGAUGGAAUUAGUAGUGUAGGGGUAAAAUCCGUAGAGAUAACUAGGAAUACCAAAAGCGAAGGCAAUCUUCUGGAACACUACUGACGCUGAGGCGCGAAAGCGUGGGGAGCAAACAGGAUUAGAAACCCUAGUAGUCC
rnacentral:rRNA from 1 species